AAUCAACGCUGGCGGCGUGCCUCAGACAUGCAAGUCGAACGAUUAAGACUCUCUUCGGAGAGUGUAUAAAGUGGCGCACGGGUGAGUAACACGUAGGUAAUGUGCCUUUGGGUGGGGAAUAACUUAGGGAAACUUAAGCUAAUACCGCAUAAUGCAGCGGCUCGACAUCGAGACAGUUGUUAAAGAUUUAUCGCCUAAAGAGCAGCCUGCGGCAGAUUAGCUAGUUGGUAAGGUAAUGGCUUACCAAGGCUACGAUCUGUAACCGACCUGAGAGGGUGGUCGGUCACACUGACACUGAAUAACGGGUCAGACUCCUACGGGAGGCAGCAGUCGGGAAUUUUGGGCAAUGGGCGAAAGCCUGACCCAGCAACGCCGCGUGAAGGAUGAAGUAUUUCGGUAUGUAAACUUCGUAAGAAUAGGAAGAAUAAAUGACGGUACUAUUUGUAAGGUCCGGCUAACUACGUGCCAGCAGCCGCGGUAACAC
rnacentral:rRNA from 1 species